ACAGCCGUUGCACACGAGUCAGUCGAUCCUAAGCCCUAGGAGAAAUCCUAUGCAGAUGGUUCGGUGUUAUUUCGAAAGCAUGACCGACCGUCGGGCGAAAGGGAAUCCGGUU
rnacentral:rRNA from 1 species